GGCUAUGGAGACAAAAUCAUUUUGCAUAAAAAGUAUUUGCAUACAAAUGUUUUGUAGUACAUGAUGGUCAUAUAAAGGAUAUCCUGGGGUGGUGAGUAUUUCAUUUUAAAAUAUUGAUGUAUAAAAACACCCUUUCUUCACUGAACCACUUACCCAAAUUGCAACCAUGUUCCAGCCUUGCCUUUAGGAAGGGAGGACGUUCCGACCAGCCCGUUGUUCAGGGUGGCUGCCAGCUCUUUGUGUAGGCAUUGGAUGAGUUGCUGUUGGAGAGCUGAAGUCUCAGAAGGAGUCAGCCACCAUCUUUUUAUGAAAUGUUCUCUGCAUAAGCGAGGUCCAGUCCUAGGUGCCAGGAGACCUGGGCGAAGACCCCAGCCCGGGAGAGGGCGAGUGGUGGUGGACUUACUGGAGCGGAGGCGCAGUGGGAAGGCCUGGCCAGAAAGGCUGCCUGUGGGCUAUGGCGUGUAGGGGCCAGUGGGAGGACCCGGCCAGAAAAGCUGCCCACAGGCGGUGGCGUGGGAGCCGAGACGCCAGGUGGGGGGCAUGCCGGGAAGCUUCACAUUUGUGAAUAGUGGCGUUGACCCUUCUUCACUGUGGUUGUGACUGGCAGGAGAUACGCAGCAGCUACAGGGACCCUGCCCAGCUGCAGGUUGGGCUUAUUUCUAUCUCCUUUUAAUUCACCUGCCCCCAGAGUUUUAGGCAAUGCCUUGCCCAGAAUUUGGGUUUUAAUAUCCAUAGAUUUCUAGUUUUUCCCCUUGUAGUAGUUUUAGAGGGAAAGUGAUAUUGGGAGCAGACACAGGAGGCAAAACCAGUGGGUGGCCGAGGAGCCAGCGCUGUAGCCAUGAACGCUUUCAGGAAGGAAAGGAAGAGCAGUCAGGCCUCAGAGCCGUGGCUCUGUGUUGUUUGAGAAGGAAGCUGGAGAAGCUGCUGGAACAGAGAGUGAGGCCAGACGCACUCGGCUGAGGAGCCACUCUGCCUCCUGUGCAUUCUGCCCGGAGACCAGCAGAUUUCUGAGUCUCUGGGAUGGUGGAGAGAGAGGUCCUGCA
rnacentral:lncRNA from 1 species